rnacentral:lncRNA from 1 species
CAUCGCUGCUCCUCGCUUCGCUGGACGUCAAUGGGCUCCACCCGGCUCUGCAGAGUAACAGUCAGCAGCAAGAUGAACUGGACAGUCAAAAAUAAACUCCAGGAAUGAAAAGAUUGUGGGAGUGCUACUCAGGUGUCUUAUGUCUGGUGUAAAAACAUGGAUCUGAAGGGCCAGCAAGCUUCCUCAGGGAUUACUGAGGCAUCUCCUUGGAAACCAUACCUCAUUAAUCCUGCUGUGAAUUUCUCCUGGACAAGCUGAAAAAGACCUUACUGAAAACGCAAAAUUAGG